rnacentral:lncRNA from 1 species
GCAUGAGGUGUAGGGUGGGUUCUAGGGUUUCAACUCUAGAUUUUGUGAGAAGAAAAAUACAAGAGUGAGUCUUGCUCAAUCUCCUACACCACUACUUUCUUGUAAAGCUUCAUCUUCUGAUCUAAAAGAGUUCAGAAGAUCCAAAGAAAGGAGCUUGAAUCAGCCAUCCAGAGCCUUCGAUGCGAGCUAGCACUCCCACAAAGGAAGAUCUGAUCAG